rnacentral:rRNA from 1 species
CAGUCGCCGCGGUAAUACGGAGGGUGCAAGCGUUAUCCGGAUUUACUGGGUUUAAAGGGUGUGUAGGCGGACUUUUAAGUCUGGGGUGAAAUCUCCGAGCUCAACUCGGAAACUGCCUUGGAUACUAUUAGUCUUGAAUUAUGUUGAGGUUGGCGGAAUAUAACAUGUAGCGGUGAAAUGCAUAGAUAUGUUAUAGAACACCGAUUGCGAAGGCAGCUAACUAAGCAUAUAUUGACGCUGAGGCACGAAAGCGUGGGGAUCAAACAGGAUUAGAGACCCGAGUAGUCCCUGUCUCUUAUAC